rnacentral:tRNA from 1 species
CCGGUGUUCGGGCUGGCCUUCACCGCCGACGGCGUGCGCCUCGCCGCCGGGAGCCAGGACCGGUCCACGCGGGUGUGGGAGGUACCCGCACCGGGC